CAUUUCGCUACACACCAAAGGCCCAGGAUAUCAGCUUCUUGCCAAAGAAAGGAAUCAUUCCUAGUACUAUGGUGUAACCUUCUACGUAUUUUUGGUGGGGGAGCCAGCUUGCCCAACGGGAAGAAUGUUCCUUUGGAGAAAAGAGGAUAGUAUACUCGAAGAAAGCAACCAUCUUCCUUGCUGGGUCCACCAGUCAUUUUGUUGGUGUAGCCAACAACAUACUUCCCUUUAUAAUCAAUAACAACAUUAAACAACGCGAAACUGUUGAUGAAAUUUCCAGGUGCGUUCUUAAACCUGCAAACGCAACAAAGUUUGUACGCAAUUAAUAAAUGUGGUUUUUCCUUUUGUGCAGCAUCACCGGCAUCACUAUCAUUCUCUAAAUA